GGGGGCGCGGGGGGCCCGGCGGGCUCCGGGCCGCCCGUGGAUGAGCACCAUGCGGCUGCUGCUGCUCGCCCUCCUCUUCUCCUCGUCCUUCGCCCGCGCCGGCUGCGACCCGAAGAUCGUCAAUAUCGGCGCGGUGCUGAGCACCAAGAAGCACGAGCAGAUCUUCCGCGAGGCGGUGAACCAGGCCAACAAGCGGCACGGCACCUGGAAGCUCCAGCUCAACGCCACCUCCGUCACCCACAAGCCCAACGCCAUCCAGAUGGCCCUGUCCGUCUGCGAGGACCUCAUCUCCAGCCAGGUCUAUGCAAUAUUAGUUAGUCACCCUCCUGCUCCCAACGAUCACCUAACACCAACACCUGUAUCAUACACAGCUGGCUUCUACAGGAUCCCUGUCAUUGGUCUGACAACACGCAUGUCUAUAUACUCUGAUAAGAGCAUCCACCUGUCCUUUUUGCGCACGGUCCCACCCUACUCUCACCAGGCCAACGUCUGGUUUGAGAUGAUGAGAGUCUUCAACUGGAACCACGUCAUCCUGAUAGUCAGCGACGACCACGAGGGUCGUGCUGCACAGAAGAAGCUGGAGACCCUCCUGGAGGAGAAAGAGUCCAAGAGUAAAAAAAGGAACUAUGAAAACCUCGACCAACUUUCCUAUGACAACAAGCGAGGACCCAAGGCUGAGAAAGUGCUUCAGUUUGACCCUGGGACCAAAAAUGUGACAGCGCUGCUGCUGGAGGCGAAGGAGCUGGAGGCCAGGGUCAUCAUCCUCUCUGCCAGCGAGGAUGACGCGGCCACGGUGUACAGAUCAGCAGCCAUGCUCAACAUGACGGGCUCGGGCUACGUGUGGCUGGUGGGGGAGCGGGAGAUCUCGGGCAAUGCCCUGCGCUACGCCCCGGACGGAGUGAUCGGCCUGCAGCUCAUCAACGGCAAGAACGAGUCUGCCCACAUCAGUGACGCUGUCGCCGUGGUGGCCCAGGCCGUGCACGACUUGUUCGAGAAGGAGAAUAUCACAGACCCACCGCGGGGCUGCGUGGGCAACACCAACAUCUGGAAGACAGGACCCCUUUUUAAGAGGGUGUUGAUGUCCUCCAAGUACUCAGAGGGUGUCACCGGCCGGGUGGAGUUCAACGAGGACGGGGACAGGAAAUUUGCCAACUACAGCAUCAUGAACCUGCAGAACCGAAAACUGGUCCAGGUUGGGAUUUACAACGGCAGCAAUGUCCUGACCAACGACAGGAAGAUCAUCUGGCCUGGAGGGGAAACUGAGAAACCUCAAGGCUAUCAGAUGUCAACCAAGCUGAAGAUUGUGACCAUCCACCAAGAGCCCUUUGUGUAUGUGAAGCCCACUCAGGCAGAUGGGACAUGCAGGGAGGAAUUCACCAUCAAUGGAGAUCCUGUCAAAAAGGUUUUCUGCACUGGACCCAAUGAGACCAUCCCAGGCCGUCCCACCGUGGCCCUGUGCUGCUACGGCUUCUGCAUCGACCUGCUCAUCCGCCUGGCAGGCGUGAUGAACUUCACCUACGAGGUUCACCUGGUGGCUGAUGGUAAAUUUGGUACCCAAGAGAGGGUGAACAACAGCAACAAGAAGGAGUGGAAUGGGAUGAUGGGGGAGCUGCUGAGCGGCCAGGCUGACAUGAUUGUGGCUCCCCUCACCAUCAACAACGAGCGGGCUCAGUACAUUGAGUUCUCCAAGCCCUUCAAGUACCAGGGCCUCACCAUCCUCGUGAAGAAGGAAAUCCCCCGCAGCACCCUGGACUCGUUCAUGCAGCCCUUCCAGAGCACGCUCUGGCUGCUGGUGGGGCUGUCUGUGCACGUGGUGGCAGUGAUGUUGUACCUCUUAGACCGAUUCAGCCCAUUUGGCCGGUUCAAAGUAAACAGUGAGGAGGAGGAGGAAGAUGCCCUGACUCUCUCCUCAGCCAUGUGGUUCUCCUGGGGAGUCCUGCUGAACUCUGGCAUUGGAGAAGGUGCUCCCCGGAGUUUCUCUGCCCGUAUCCUUGGCAUGGUGUGGGCUGGCUUUGCUAUGAUCAUUGUGGCUUCAUACACUGCCAACCUGGCAGCCUUCCUGGUGUUGGACCGACCUGAGGAGAGGAUCACAGGCAUCAACGACCCCCGGCUGCGCAACCCCUCGGAUAAGUUCAUCUACGCCACGGUGAAGCAGAGCUCUGUGGACAUCUACUUCCGACGGCAGGUGGAGCUGAGCACCAUGUACCGACACAUGGAGAAGCACAACUACGAGAGCGCUGCCGAGGCCAUCCAGGCAGUGAGGGACAACAAGCUCCACGCCUUCAUCUGGGACUCGGCGGUGCUGGAGUUCGAGGCCUCCCAGAAGUGUGACCUGGUGACCACGGGGGAGCUCUUCUUCCGCUCCGGCUUCGGGAUCGGCAUGCGCAAGGACAGCCCCUGGAAGCAGAACGUCUCCCUGGCCAUCCUCAAGUCUCAUGAGAACGGCUUCAUGGAGGAUUUGGACAAGACUUGGGUGAGGUAUCAAGAGUGUGAUUCCCGUAGCAAUGCCCCAGCAACACUCACCUUUGAAAAUAUGGCAGGUGUGUUUAUGCUGGUGGCUGGAGGUAUUGUUGCCGGGAUAUUUUUAAUAUUCAUAGAGAUAGCUUACAAAAGGCAUAAGGACGCGCGGAGGAAGCAGAUGCAGCUGGCGUUUGCGGCCGUUAAUGUGUGGAGGAAAAACCUGCAGGAUAGAAAAAGUGGUAGAGCAGAACCUGACCCUAAAAAGAAAGCCACUUUUAGGUCCAUCACCUCCACCCUGGCCUCCAGCUUCAAGAGACGUAGGUCCUCCAAGGAUACGCCCUGCAGAAUGGUCCCUCAGGAGUGCCAGAGAGACAGGCUGGCACCAUGGAGCCAAGACAGCCCUGGGAAGCUUCCACCCCACUCUGAACGUCCUAGCGCCCACCAUCACCCGAGCUGCACAGCCUCUCCGCGGCACAUCAUCCCCACCGCCCCAGGAGGAGAUGCAUGUGUUCCCCAUAGGCAGCUCCUGCAACUCGAGUAGCACUGGCAGAGCUGACGUGUCCAUCCAUCGCAGCCACCCACGAUACUGCAACCCCACAGACGCCAUGUGAGACGCAUAAACCACACAGACACCUCCGAGCCGGCACAUUGCGUACAGACACGAUCGAGGUGCACAGGUCCCUUAGCCCCCGCAGAGCCACACUGCCAGCCCCAGCCCCGUGACACAGCAGUGGCACACGGCCCGCGGCACCGCCCCGCCCUGGGCACGGUGCCGGGGCUGGGCGGCAACCGAGGGGCUUCCUGCAAAAGGUCACCUUUUCAGUGAAGGAUCAGCUGUCCCAAAGCCAAACACUUCUUGGCUGAGAAAGAGCCUAGUUUUUGGCCCAAAAGAACCAAAACAGUAUCACCCCACCGACAUCACCGGCCAGCUCAACCUCUCCGACCCCUCAGUCAGCACUGUGGUGUGACCUUCUCCCCGAGGGCCAUCAGUCCUUGCCCAACCCAGUAGGAAGGCACAGCCAGGACUGCCUUUCAAGGGACACUGAUGGGUUCUUCUGGGUGAGAUGGGAGGAAAGCAUCCUUCAUCCAUACACGGUGACUCCAUUGUAUAUCUCCCUCCCUUCCUAGGCCUGCUGCCAUGCUCGUGCCCCAGGAAGCACGGCAGAACCAGGACAAGGUUUGGACUUCACUGUACAGAGAUAAUUGCUUCCAAACAGUGCCACAAUGAUCAGAAUUGCCACUGGCUGGCUCCGUGCAAGGGGAAAGGACUGCAGAAGGCACACGGUGCCUGCUCUCCCACGGUAGCAGGGAAGAGCUGGUGCCAGACCACAAACCCGUGCUUAACCUCACAGGCUGCAGCCUUCUGAGCACACACAGCCCCUCAGACGUGUGCUCCACGUCUCCCACCACCUGGAGGGCUCCACAGUCCUGCGCAGCCAGAGCAGCCAGCUCCCGGUGUGGCAGGUUGGGCACAUGUUCCUGCUGUGCCCAGAGACCCUUCUGUCUGCUGCAGGGGCUGGAAGAUGUGUGCUCUGCUCCUUGCAGGGGAUGGACACUCCUCCCUUUUCCCCCACCGUCCCGUGGCUGUGACUCGGUUCCCGUCCGUGGUCUGGCAGAGAGGAGAGCUCCCUCCCUGCAGCCCUCGCCCCUGAGCUAACCGCGGUACUCCGGAGCCUGGAGUGCCGCCAGCCGAGACCCCGGCUCCCACCUCUCCUGCACAGAAACAUCCCCAGGACCUGGCCACGGCCAGCAUGUAGCACUCACACAGCAGCUCUCCUGGCCAGGAAUUCUCCACGGGAAAUGGCUCUGGAUGGUUGCACUGACCUCUACCCCAGCUCCACACUGCCUCAGCACCAGCAAUGCAAGGAGAGAUGCUGCUGGCUGGUCCCGGCUCGCUGCGGGCCCCCAGCCUGUCUGCACGGCCGGGGCACCACGGCCAGCGCUGGCGGCUCCCCUGCCACCCUCACCUGCAGUUCAGCUUGCCAGCAGCUCCCGCGGCUGCCCUGCAGCCCCAGCGCAAGGAAAGGUGGAAAGCAGAUCCCAGUUCGGGAGAAGGAACAGAACGGGCCGGGCUGACCCCGUCCCUCCCCGCGCCGUCCUCCCCUCGGGCCCGCAUGGGCACCCCGAGCACCCUCCCCGUGGGCAGCGGGGUGAGCAGCGUCUCCUGCCAGCAGAACACCCAGGGGCAGCGUGGUGCCCACGGACUGCCCUCCCCGGCCCCAGGCUGCCCCCGCGGGCAGGAUUUCACAUGGCAGCUGAGGUCUGUGAGCAUCGUCCCACCGACUGCUGUGGCUCCAUCAUGUUCAUCUAGCUCCAGCUGAGAAAUCGGACCCAUCCUACUUUAUACGUCAAUGUUACAUGAAUACCAAGUUUUUGCAAGAGCUCAGUAAAGUCUAGACUGGAUCAUGAA